rnacentral:rRNA from 1 species
UAUCAUUACUACAUGGAUACUGUGGUAAUUCUAGAGCUAAUACAUGCGUCAGCACCCGACUUCACGGAAGGGUCGUGUUUAUUAGAUACAAAACCAACAUCUCGUUGGUGAUUCAUAAUAACCAAGCGAAUCGCCGGUUUACCGGCGAUAGAUCGUUCAAGUUUCUGACCUAUCAGCUUUCGACGGUAGGGUAUUGGCCUACCGUGGCAAUGACGGGUAACGGAGAAUUAGGGUUCGAUUCCGGAGAGGGAGCCUGAGAAACGGCUACCACAUCUAAGGAUGGCAGCAGGCGCGCAAAUUACCCAAUCCUGACACAGGGGGGUAGUGACAAGAUAUAACAAUGUAGGGCAUAACUGUCUUACAAUUGGAAUGAGUAGAUUCUAAACCCCUUUGCGAGUAACAAUUGGAGGGCAAGUCUGGUGCCAGCAGCCGCGGUAAUUCCAGCUCCAAUAGCGUAUAUUAAAGUUGUUGCGGUUAAAAAGCUCGUAGUUGGAUUUCUGCCGAGGACGACCGAUCGGCCCAUACGGGCUUGAAUCAGGUUUGACCGAGGCAUCCUCUUGGAAGACGUGCAGCACUUCAUUGGGUUGUACGAAGUCCAAGACUUUUACUUUGAGGAAAUUAGAGUGUUUCAUACAGGCAAUCGCCGUGAAUACAUAAGCAUGGAAUAAUAAUAUAGGACUUCGGUUCUAUUUUGUUGGUUUCUGGAACUGAAGUAAUGAUUAAUAGGGACAGUCGGGGGCAUACGUACUUAACAGUCAGAGGUGAAAUUCUUGGAUUUGUUAAAGACGAACUACUGCGAAAGCAUUUGCCAAGGAUGUUUUCAUUGAUCAGGAACGAAAGUUAGGGGAUCGAAGACGAUUAGAUACCGUCGUAGUCUUA